GUUCCUCACUUGAGCAUUGGCUCUGAAGGGUUACGAAGCUAUAAUUCUCUUGCUCGUUGGCUGGAGCGUUGACUCUGAAGGCCUCGACAUCUAAACACGGAAGGAGAAGCCUCGUCAGCUGCUGCAGGGAUGGCCUGGAUGUGGAUCCUCCUGCAGGUGGUGGCGGCCGCGUUCGCUCGGAGCCUGGGCGGGGAGGACGGCGUGCCGCUUGUCACCGGAAAGCCCAGUUGCCUCGGAGCCCUCUGCCCGCAUGUCAUAGUCCCCGGAUGUUACCCCCCCACUCUGCCCGGGGGUUGCUGUCCAGAUUGGUCACAGUGCAAAGGCAGCAGUGGUAUAGAAGUUGCAUGACUUUUGCAACCUACUGAAGAUAUUCCAGUCCUCCAGAAAAUUCCUUUUACUUCAGGAACUUCAGCAUGACCUUUAACCUUUAAGGCAGAAAAAAAAUCAUCAUCAUUCCAGCAGUGCAUUAAAAUGAGUCCUUCUUGAAAGAUAAAAGCAUAUUUUUUUUUUUUUUUUUUUAAUAUAUAGCGCUUUCUCGAAUA